CAAAAUAAAGCUAAAAAUUAGCGUUUCACUUACGUUGAAAAGGUUUAUCGUAGGGAACGAUUUAUUUUGA
rnacentral:tRNA from 1 species